UAGACCUCGGAUCAGGUAGGGAUACCCGCUGAACUUAAG
rnacentral:rRNA from 1 species